CAGCCAUCCUUGAAAGAGUGCGUAAUAGCUCACUGGUCAAGUGAUUCUGCGCCGACAAUUCAGCGGGGCUCAAGUUAUCCGCCGAAGCUGUGGCAUUCACGCGUGUGGCCGGAAGGUUGCGUGGAUGGGUAGGGGAGCGUCGUGUGCGUGUUGAAGCGGUGGGGUGACCUGGUCGUGGAGUGCAUACGAGUGAGAAUGCAGGCAUGAGUAGCGAAUGACGGGUGAGAAACCCGUCCGCCGAAUAUCCAAGGGUUCCAGGGUCAAGUUAAUCUGCCCUGGGUUAGUCGGGACCUAAGGCGAGGCCGACAGGCGUAGUCGAUGGACAACGGGUUGAUAUUCCCGUACCGGCGAAACAACGUCCGUGCUGGGGCACGCGAUGCUAAGCAUGCGAGACUGUCUGCUGCCUUUCGGGGUGGUGGGUGGUUGAGUCUGUGAUCCGAGUGUGUAGUAGGCAAGCCGCGGAGGGACGCAGGAAGGUAGCUCAUCCUCAGCGUUGGUUGUCUGAGGCUAAGUGUGUAGGGUGGGGUGUAGGUAAAUCCGCAUUCCGUGAUGCCUGAGACACGAUGGGCCUGCACCGUUUGGGUGUGGGUUGAGUGAUCCUAUGCUGCCUAGAAAAGCUUCGUUGGCGAGUUGUUAGCCGCCCGUACCCUAAACCGACACAGGUGGAUAGGUAGAGAAUACCGAGGCGAUCGGGAUAAUCGUGGUGAAGGAACUCGGCAAAAUACCCCCGUAACUUCGGGAUAAGGGGGACCUGAUACGUGACCAGCCUUGCGUUGUGAGCGUUGAGGGUCGCAGAGACCAGGCCCAAGCGACUGUUUACUAAAAACACAGGUCCGUGCCAACUCGUAAGAGGAUGUAUACGGACUGACUCCUGCCCGGUGCUGGAAGGUUAAGGGGAACUGUCAGCCGCAUUUUGUGUGGUGAAGCGGUGAACUUAAGCCCCAGUAAACGGCGGUGGUAACUAUAACCAUCCUAAGGUAGCGAAAUUCCUUGUCGGGUAAGUUCCGACCUGCACGAAUGGAGUAACGAUUUGGGCGCUGUCUCCACCACGAACCCGGUGAAAUUGCAUUACGAGUAAAGAUGCUCGUUACGCGCAGCAGGACGGAAAGACCCCGGGACCUUUACUACAGUUUGGUAUUGGUGAUCGGUGUGACUUGUGUAGGAUAGGUGGGAGACUUUGAAACCGGGACGCCAGUUCCGGUGGAGUCGUCGUUGAAAUACCACUCUGGUCAUUCUGGUUAUCUAACCUAGGACCGUUAUCCGGUUCAGGGACAGUGCCUGAUGGGUAGUUUGACUGGGGCGGUCGCCUCCUAAAAGGUAACGGAGGCGCCCAAAGGUUCCCUCAGCCUGGUUGGCAAUCAGGUGUUGAGUGUAAGUGCACAAGGGAGCUUGACUGUGAGACUGACGGGUCGAGCAGGUACGAAAGUAGGAACUAGUGAUCCGGCGAUCCCGUGUGGGUGGGUCGUCGCUCAACGGAUAAAAGGUACCCCGGGGAUAACAGGCUGAUCCUGCCCAAGAGUCCAUAUCGACGGCAUGGUUUGGCACCUCGAUGUCGGCUCGUCGCAUCCUGGGGCUGGAGUCGGUCCCAAGGGUUGGGCUGUUCGCCCAUUAAAGCGGCACGCGAGCUGGGUUUAGAACGUCGUGAGACAGUUCGGUCCCUAUCCGCUGCGCGCGUAGGAGUCUUGAGAAGGGCUGUCCUUAGUACGAGAGGACCGGGACGGACCAACCUCUGGUGUGCCAGUUGUUCCGCCAGGAGCACGGCUGGUUGGCUACGUUGGGAAGUGAUAACCGCUGAAAGCAUCUAAGCGGGAAGCACGCUUCAAGAUGAGGACUCCCACACCAUCAAGGUGGUAAGGCCCCCCGCAGACCACGGGGUUGAUAGGUCGGACGUGGAAGCACAGUAAUGUGUGAAGCUGACCGAUACUAAUAGGCCGAGGGCUUGCCACA
rnacentral:rRNA from 1 species